AAACGCGCAAGGCUCAUUACAACAGCUAAAAUGUAUACGGUGAGAUACCAUUAAAUGGAUAUCUGCGGUAAAUCUGGAGCUAAUACAUGCAUAAAUGACUGUAUAGUUAUGGCUGUAUGGGUGGAGUUAUUAGAUUAAAACCAAUGGGGCUCUGCCCAUAUAUGUUAACUCUAGAUAAUGCGUUACCAUACAGAUUUUUUUUCUGAUGGAAUGCCGUAUUUGUAUCUGCCCUAUCCACUAUAUAACCGUGUAUUGGACGGUUAUGGUGUUGCCGGGUAACGGAAAAUUAGGGUUCGUCUCCGGAGAGAAUGCCUUAAAAACGGCUUUCACAUCCAAGGAAGGGCAGCAGGGCGCGAAAAUUACCCACUCUCAGUGCGAGGAGGUAGUGACGUGAAAUGACAAGUUCCAUUCUUUAUAGGAUGGAACAUUGGAAUGGUUUAAUUUUAAAUCCAUUGAAGAUUAUCAAUGAGAGGGCAAGUCUGGUGCCAGCAGCCGCGGUAAUUCCAGCUCUCAUACUGCAUUGAAUUGCUGUUGCGGUUAAAAAGUUCGUAGUUGCAAGUGUACGAAGUGGGGAUGGUUUAACUUUUCUGGUCAAUACUAAUUACUACCCGUUAAAAAGUUUAUAUGGGUAAANNNCCCAUAUACCUACAUUACUUUUGAGUUAAAUCUCAAAGNNGUUUAAAAAAAACGCAUUUGGUUGAAAAGGGUNGGCGCGGGAAAAAAAAAAAAAAAAGGGUUUGUAAUUUUUUUUUUUGUGGGUUUUAAGUGCCAAGGAAAUGGAUUAAAGGGAAACAACCGGGGGGCAAAAAAUUUUCAAAAGGGACGAAGGGGGAAAUUUCCGGGACCCCUUUG
rnacentral:rRNA from 1 species